UAUUGUGUCUAUCUACUAUUAAUUGUGUCUAUCUGCUAUUAAUUGACAAAAAGUCAUCACAAAAAUUCCACUGGGGAUAUAUGUCUUGGGUAGGAAAAGAGAAAAAGAUCCCAUCUAAGUAUUUCAGAUACAAGCAGAUCUAAGAGGUGGUAUUCUCCUCUAACCACGGGGUAGCAGUAACCCCUUGUGGGAAAAUAAUCAAAACAAACCGAAAAAGUAAGCCAAAGAGAUCUUAAGCAUAAACGCCUAGAGUCACAUUUAGCUGAUCCGUUGACGUCUCUGGUAUUCACCAGUUAUCCUAACAAUGUAUUUGAACCUCCAAUCUAAAAGCCCUGAGAUGUGGAUGGAGGUGGAAGGGUUGAGGACGAGUAGGAACCAAAUUGAGUGAGUAAACUGUUAAGAUCUGGAUGGAAAAGCAUUAAGAUAUUCGGGCAAACGUAUUAAGUGUCUGAAGCAGUAACAAAGGCCUAAAAAGGGAUAAAGGAGUGAGGAAUGAGAAGAUUAAGAUCUUGAGGAUCUGAUUUGGGUUUGUUUAUUUUCUUCUUUUUUUAAUCGGAAAGAAAUGGGGAAGGAGCUAAAUAGAUGCAAGAACUGAGGAGAAAAGAGAUCGUGCCUGAAACACCCAAGAAAACCCUCUAGAGGCGGGGAAACAGCUUCCCACAAGAAGGCUUAGGCUUAGUUAGCUCUGGAGCCCAGGAAGGGCAAGGAGUCAGAAAAAUGAUACCAGAAAGGAGAGAUGAGGGUGACGCCAAAGCCCUCAGAGAGCCGAAAGGUUGGUCACCGGAUUUCCAUUGAGGGCAAGACCCGACUCCCCCCCGCGCCCCCACUUCUUCAAGGAAACCCGAUCUUUCGAGGGGAUCAGAGACACUAAGUCCCAACCUUCUCCUGAGCUAGCAGAGUCAGGAGAAGAACCGCAAGUCGCUCCCUCACCAAAAAGAGAGCUGGAGAAGUGUAAACAAUGUGCAGGAGCCACCAACCGGGAAACGCUCCAGCUUCAGCAGCAGCCGCCCCACAAGCAGCCCGCAUCCAGGCCGACUCUCC
rnacentral:lncRNA from 1 species